rnacentral:rRNA from 1 species
GUUUAAUUUGAUCAUGGCUCAGAAUCAACGGCUGGUAGCGUGCCUAACACAUGCAAGUCGAACGCGAAAGCCCCGCAAGGGGUAAGUAGAGUGGCAAACGGGUGAGUAACGCGUGGGUGACCUGCCUUCGAGCGGGGGAUAACGUUCCGAAAGGGACGCUAAUACCGCAUGACAUCCUGCUUUUCAAGAAGCGGAGAUCAAAGCUGGGGAUCGCAAGACCUAGCACUCGAAGAGGGGCCCGCGUCCGAUUAGCUAGUUGGUGGGGUAACGGCUUACCAAGGCAACGAUCGGUAGCCGGCCUGAGAGGGCGGACGGCCACACUGGGACUGAGACACGGCCCAGACUCCUACGGGAGGCAGCAGUGGGGAAUUGUUCGCAAUGGGCGCAAGCCUGACGACGCAACGCCGCGUGGAGGAUGAAGAUCUUCGGGUCGUAAACUCCUUUCGAUCGAGACGAAUUCCCUGGCGGUGAACAAUCGCGAGGGUUGACGGUACCGAGAGAAGAAGCCCCGGCUAACUCCGUGCCAGCAGCCGACGGUAAUACGGGGGGGGCAAGCGUUGUUCGGAAUUACUGGGCGUAAAGGGCUCGUAGCGGCCAACUCAGUCGGACGUGAAAUCCUCGGC